CCGGCGAAAUACGUGCCAGCAGCCGCGUGAAUAACAAUGGGGUCAGAGUGGUUCGAAAUCAAUGCGCGUAAAGCGAACUUAUGCGGACUUUUAAGUCAGGGGUGAAAUCCCGGGGCUGAACCUCGGAACUUCCUUUUAUACUGGAAGUCGUGAGUCCGAGAGAGGUGAGUGGAACUCCUAGUGUAGAGGUGAAAUUCGUAGAUAUUCGGAAGAACACCAGUGGCGAAGGCGGCUCACUGGCUCGGUACUGACGCUGAGGUGCGAAAGCGUGGGGAGCAAACAGGAUAGAUACCCUGGUAGU
rnacentral:rRNA from 1 species